CUAGGGCACCUAAGUUGAGGGUAUUAAGCACGAAGUUGUUUUAUCUCCAGGCCAUGCACUAAUUUUCAUUGCAGCUAGGAACGAACAUCAUCAUGUUCGUUAAAAUAAUAUCAACUUGUUGAGGAGAAGAAGUCACACAAUAUUUGACGUGCUCUGGAUCUCUCAAACUUAUCAAAACCUUUGACGUGCCAUCAAAUAAUAUAUUGAGGGUUAAGGCACAUAUAUGGUUAGAAACUGGCUGUGCUUACUGCUUUUGCUAGUUGCUUUAAUUUUUACUAUGACACAGCUACUAGUGUCCCAUGUUCUUGAUCUGUUCACUUAGACGUUUUUUUCUUCAACUACAGAGCCUAGACAGAUCAAAUGGAAAUCAAGGGAGUCCAAGAUAAAGAGCUGAAGCUUUAGCCGCCUUAUCAUUACCAUUUUUCAGUUUCAUUUCUACAAAAUCAUAAGGGGAAGUGAACUUUUCCCACCUUUUUCACUCUUUUUGGCUUUACAGGUCUCUAAUCCUUGAUUUGGUUUCUUACAUGCAUCGCUGGAUUUUUACAUGCGCAAAAUAUCUAGUAAAAGAUAUUUAUUACUGUUACAUGUUUUUGUGAAGUAGAGGUAUGUUUUCAGGCUUGGUUGUUUUUAAGAUUGAUGAUUUUGUUUGCCCCCUAAUCUUUAGAUUUUUCUUGUUUUUUUUUCCGAUCCAUUUGAAUUAUGAUUACUUUUUCUUAUAAUAGUUAGGGUACUCCAACAAAAUAAGGUUGAGUUUCUUUUAUUUCAAAGAUUGGACGUAGUAUUUAAAGCCUAUUUUUGGUGUUGAAGCAAUGCAUGAGUUACAUGGUUAAAGUUCUUCCUCACCGUCUUGCCUCUCAGAUAUGGAUGACAGUAGCCAAAGCAAUGUGCAGUAAAUGAAAAUAUGAUGCAAGCUCUGUUGCUUCUGUGAUAGAAGUAUCACUCUAAUCCUAAGUAACUCUUAACAUUGAUUGCUUUGAGGUAAUAUAUGGCUUUGGGAUAAAUCAUGUCAUGUCUUGGGUUCUACGUUUUGCUAAGAGUAUGUCUCAAACUAAUUAAAAUAUUCAUGGCUACAAGUUGGACAUGUCUCACAUCUUUUCCGUAAACAUGUUCAAUCAGUUUGACAGAUGGAUGAAUGUGACGGAGUGGAUGCCUCCUCAAACAAAGCCCUAUGUGUAUGUGUCUGAGGUAUGUGUAAUUUUCAUGACAUUAGCAACAUCAGUGUUUCUAAUUGAGAUGUACGGAUGUACCUUGAAAACUUAUCAGAAGAAUUUGAAAAAGUGGCUUAUUGAUGAAAAUAUCGGGAUUAGUUAGUUAGUCAUUCGUUUUGGCCCUGAUAUUGAAGUUUUAUGGAAUGAUGCUAGACAGAAGAAGCCAGGAUCUGCUAAUAAGCGUCUUGGUCUUCUUUAGGUACAAAUCUUGUGUCAUUUCAAAAGCAGACCGGAACUGUUUGCGGUGGUGAUGAUACCUUCACAUAUCUCAUGCGUUAUCAGCAUACUAUGGUGAGAAAUACAUGGUCACUUACCAUAGCCAAGGACUAAACAACCAGCGAGAUGCUAAAAGUAGAGAUAAGUGUCUUUGAUGUGAGAACUGGGAGGAUGGUUUCAAGGGUAGUGCGGAUGAUUUUUUCGUUGGUAGUUUGUUGCUGAUGGGUGAAGGUUCGUUUGUAAACUAGCUCCAUUGACUCUUGCUUCUAUUUGGUCAUCACCCUUUGUUUUUGGGGAGUCUAAAUACUCUUAAGUUUGCAUAAUAUCUUUGUAGAAAAUCAGUAUUCUGCAUUUCUGCUCAUGUCUAUCAGGCUGAUUGGAUUGUGAAACCAUAGCUGGCUGUUUAGAACGUAUUUCAGAUUUCUAACCGGAGCAUAGAAUGACUUGCUCUAAACCUCUAUUGCAGCAACACUGAUUAAGCAAAACUUUGAUUUGUGUUUCUUGCUGUUCUUACCAAUGGGGCAUAUAUCUUGAACGCCGGAAAUAAAUGAGAAUUGGUAGCUGGUCUGGAGAAGGUAAAGUAACUAGUGCAAAUGAGUUUCUCUACACAUUCUGAAUUAGAUUUGUUCUUCUCAACGGUAUUCUUUUUACCCAACAAACAAGUCUGGGGACGUUCUUAGGUGUACUUGCCUUCACUAGCAGCAAUAUACGAGAGGUGAUUUCUUUGGGUUUAGUGGAAGAGCAAUGUUCAAAGUGUGAUAAAAUUAUCAAAAGCAAAGAUGAAAAGCAUUCAUAAUCAAUGCUUCAAGAAUGAAAGGUUGUUGCAGGGUGAGUUGAACGGGAGGAGGAUGCCAGCAACUUGGUUCGAGAUAAGCUUGAGUGACACUAUUAGACGUAUAAAUGAAUUGAUUCUACGGUUUAUGUAAAACCGGUUAAUUGUAAUCGGUUCAAUGUCUAUACCGAAACUUUCCCUCUAUAUAAGAGGUUUCUAUUGUAAACAUUUCAUUAAGAUGAAUAAGAU